rnacentral:rRNA from 1 species
ACGCUGGCGGCAGGCCUAACACAUGCAAGUCGAGCGGUAGAGAGAAGCUUGCUUCUCUUGAGAGCGGCGGACGGGUGAGUAAUGCCUAGGAAUCUGCCUGGUAGUGGGGGAUAACGUCCGGAAACGGACGCUAAUACCGCAUACGUCCUACGGGAGAAAGCAGGGGACCUUCGGGCCUUGCGCUAUCAGAUGAGCCUAGGUCGGAUUAGCUAGUUGGUGGGGUAAUGGCUCACCAAGGCGACGAUCCGUAACUGGUCUGAGAGGAUGAUCAGUCACACUGGAACUGAGACACGGUCCAGACUCCUACGGGAGGCAGCAGUGGGGAAUAUUGGACAAUGGGCGAAAGCCUGAUCCAGCCAUGCCGCGUGUGUGAAGAAGGUCUUCGGAUUGUAAAGCACUUUAAGUUGGGAGGAAGGGCAGUUGCCUAAUACGUAACUGUUUUGACGUUACCGACAGAAUAAGCACCGGCUAACUCUGUGCCAGCAGCCGCGGUAAUACAGAGGGUGCAAGCGUUAAUCGGAAUUACUGGGCGUAAAGCGCGCGUAGGUGGUUUGUUAAGUUGGAUGUGAAAUCCCCGGGCUCAACCUGGGAACUGCAUUCAAAACUGACUGACUAGAGUAUGGUAGAGGGUGGUGGAAUUUCCUGUGUAGCGGUGAAAUGCGUAGAUAUAGGAAGGAACACCAGUGGCGAAGGCGACCACCUGGACUGAUACUGACACUGAGGUGCGAAAGCGUGGGGAGCAAAC